rnacentral:RNase_P_RNA from 1 species
GAGGUGAGCUGGAUGGUCGCUGCUGUGGAGGUCUUCGUGACUGAAGCAGGGGAGGAAAGUCCGGGCUUCAUAGGGCAGGGUGCCAGGUAACGCCUGGGCGGUGAAAGCCGACGGAAAGUGCAGCAGAGAGUAGACCGCCUCAUUCGUGAGGUAAGGGUGAAAGGGUGCGGUAAGAGCGCACCGCGUGUCUGGUAACAGUUCACGGCAUGGUAAACCCCACCAGAAGCAAGACCAAAUAGGAAUCCUGAGGUACGGCCCGUACUGGAUUCGGGUAGGUCGCUUGAGCGUAUGAGUGAUUGUACGCCUAGAGGAAUGACCAUUCUCGACAGAACCCGGCUUAUAGGCUCACUUCACCU